rnacentral:rRNA from 1 species
UUGAACGCUGGCGGCAUGCUUUACACAUGCAAGUCGAACGGUAACAGGUCUUCGGAUGCUGACGAGUGGCGAACGGGUGAGUAAUGCAUCGGAACGUGCCCAGUCGUGGGGGAUAACGUAGCGAAAGCUACGCUAAUACCGCAUACGAUCUAUGGAUGAAAGCGGGGGAUCGCAAGACCUCGCGCGAUUGGAGCGGCCGAUAUCAGAUUAGGUAGUUGGUGAGGUAAAGGCUCACCAAGCCGACGAUCUGUAGCUGGUCUGAGAGGACGACCAGCCACACUGGGACUGAGACACGGUCCAGACUCCUACGGGAGGCAGCAGUGGGGAAUUUUGGACAAUGGACGCAAGUCUGAUCCAGCCAUUCCGCGUGCAGGACGAAGGCCUUCGGGUUGUAAACUGCUUUUGUACAGAACGAAAAGGUCUCUAUUAAUACUAGGGGCUCAUGACGGUACUGUAAGAAUAAGCACCGGCUAACUACGUG